rnacentral:rRNA from 1 species
UGGCGGACGGGUGAGUAACGCGUAAAGAACUUGCCCUUUAGACUGGGAUAACAGAGGGAAACUUCUGAUAAUACUGGAUAAGUUAGUAUAUCGCAUGAUAUGCAAAUGAAAGCUACGGCACUAAAGGAGAGCUUUGCGUCCUAGUUAGCUAGUUGGUAAGGUAAGAGCUUACCAAGGCGAUGAUAGGUAGCCGGCCUGAGAGGGUGGACGGCCACAAGGGGACUGAGAUACGGCCCUUACUCCUACGGGAGGCAGCAGGU